UGGGGAAUAUUGGACAAUGGGCGCAAGCCUGAUCCAGCCAUGCCGCGUGAGUGAAGAAGGCCUUAGGGUUGUAAAACUCUUUCGCCGGGGAAGAUAAUGACGGUACCCGGAGAAGAAGCUCCGGCUAACUUCGUGCCAGCAGCCGCGGUAAUACGAAGGGAGCUAGCGUUGUUCGGAAUUACUGGGCGUAAAGCGCACGUAGGCGGACUUGUCAGUCAGGGGUGAAAUCCCAAGGCUCAACCUUGGAACUGCCUCCGAUACAGCAAGCCUAGAGAUCGGGAGAGGUGAGUGGAAUUCCUAGUGUAGAGGUGAAAUUCGUAGAUAUUAGGAAGAACACCAGUGGCGAAGGCGGCUCACUGGCCCGAUACUGACGCUGAGGUGCGAAAGCGUGGGGAGCAAACAGGAUUAGAUACCCGAGUAGUCCCUGAGCGGGCUGGCAAGGCGCAU
rnacentral:rRNA from 1 species